rnacentral:other from 1 species
AAUAUCCCAGGAUGGGAACAUCCCAGGAUGGGAAUAUCCCAGGAUGGGAAGGAAUAUCCCAGGAUGGGAACAUCCCAGGAUGGGAAUAUCCCAGGAUGGGAAGGAAUAUCCCAGGAUGGGAACAUCCCAGGAUGGGAAUAUCCCAGGAUGGGAAGGAAUAUCCCAGGAUGGGAACAUCCCAGGAUGGGAACAUCCCAGGAUAGGAAUACCCCAGGAUGGGAAUAUUCCCGGAUGACCCACUUCCCAGU